rnacentral:rRNA from 1 species
CUGGAGGUAUCAGAAGUGCGAAUGCUGACAUAAGUAACGAUAAAGCGGGUGAAAAGCCCGCUCGCCGGAAGACCAAGGGUUCCUGUCCAACGUUAAUCGGGGCAGGGUGAGUCGACCCCUAAGGCGAGGCCGAAAGGCGUAGUCGAUGGGAAACAGGUUAAUAUUCCUGUACUUGGUGUUACUGCGAAGGGGGGACGGAGAAGGCUAUGUUGGCCGGGCGACGGUUGUCCCGGUUUAAGCGUGUAGGCUGGUUUUCCAGGCAAAUCCGGAAAAUCAAGGCUGAGGCGUGAUGACGAGGCACUACGGUGCUGAAGCAACAAAUGCCCUGCUUCCAGGAAAAGCCUCUAAGCAUCAGGUAACAUCAAAUCGUACCCCAAACCGACACAGGUGGUCAGGUAGAGAAUACCAAGGCGCUUGAGAGAACUCGGGUGAAGGAACUAGGCAAAAUGGUGCCGUAACUUCGGGAGAAGGCACGCUGAUAUGUAGGUGAAGUCCCUCGCGGAUGGAGCUGAAAUCAGUCGAAGAUACCAGCUGGCUGCAACUGUUUAUUAAAAACACAGCACUGUGCAAACACGAAAGUGGACGUAUACGGUGUGACGCCUGCCCGGUGCCGGAAGGUUAAUUGAUGGGGUUAGCGCAAGCGAAGCUCUUGAUCGAAGCCCCGGUAAACGGCGGCCGUAACUAUAACGGUCCUAAGGUAGCGAAAUUCCUUGUCGGGUAAGUUCCGACCUGCACGAAUGGCGUAAUGAUGGCCAGGCUGUCUCCACCCGAGACUCAGUGAAAUUGAACUCGCUGUGAAGAUGCAGUGUACCCGCGGCAAGACGGAAAGACCCCGUGAACCUUUACUAUAGCUUGACACUGAACAUUGAGCCUUGAUGUGUAGGAUAGGUGGGAGGCUUUGAAGUGUGGACGCCAGUCUGCAUGGAGCCGACCUUGAAAUACCACCCUUUAAUGUUUGAUGUUCUAACGUUGACCCGUAAUCCGGGUUGCGGACAGUGUCUGGUGGGUAGUUUGACUGGGGCGGUCUCCUCCUAAAGAGUAACGGAGGAGCACGAAGGUUGGCUAAUCCUGGUCGGACAUCAGGAGGUUAGUGCAAUGGCAUAAGCCAGCUUGACUGCGAGCGUGACGGCGCGAGCAGGUGCGAAAGCAGGUCAUAGUGAUCCGGUGGUUCUGAAUGGAAGGGCCAUCGCUCAACGGAUAAAAGGUACUCCGGGGAUAACAGGCUGAUACCGCCCAAGAGUUCAUAUCGACGGCGGUGUUUGGCACCUCGAUGUCGGCUCAUCACAUCCUGGGGCUGAAGUAGGUCCCAAGGGUAUGGCUGUUCGCCAUUUAAAGUGGUACGCGAGCUGGGUUUAGAACGUCGUGAGACAGUUCGGUCCCUAUCUGCCGUGGGCGCUGGAGAACUGAGGGGGGCUGCUCCUAGUACGAGAGGACCGGAGUGGACGCAUCACUGGUGUUCGGGUUGUCAUGCCAAUGGCACUGCCCGGUAGCUAAAUGCGGAAGAGAUAAGUGCUGAAAGCAUCUAAGCACGAAACUUGCCCCGAGAUGAGUUCUCCCUGACCCUUUAAGGGUCCUGAAGGAACGUUGAAGACGACGACGUUGAUAGGCCGGGUGUGUAAGCGCAGCGAUGCGUUGAGCUAACCGGUACUAAUGAACCGUGAGG